rnacentral:rRNA from 1 species
GACGAACGCUGGCGGCGUGCCUAACACAUGCAAGUCGAGCGGAGUCAGUAAGAGGAAGUUUUCGGAUGGAAUCUCGUUGAUUUAGCGGCGGACGGGUGAGUAACGCGUGAGCGACCAACCUUGCACAGGGGGAUAACGGACCGAAAGGUUCACUAAUACCGCAUGAGACCACGGUGUUGCAUGACACAGGGGUCAAAGGAGCAAUCCGGUGCAAGACGGGCUCGCGUCCGAUUAGGUAGUUGGAGGGGUAACGGCCCACCAAGCCGAUGAUCGGUAGCCGACCUGAGAGGGUGAUCGGCCACAUUGGAACUGAAAGACGGUCCAAACUCCUACGGGAGGCAGCAGUGGGGAAUAUUGGGCAAUGGGGGAAACCCUGACCCAGCAACGCCGCGUGAAGGAAGAAGGUUUUCGGAUUGUAAACCUCUGUCCUUGGUGAAGAGCAGAAGACGGUAGCCAAGGAGGAAGCCCCGGCUAACUACGUGCCAGCCGCCGCGGUAAAAC